AUUGAACGCUGGCGGCAUGCUUUACACAUGCAAGUCGAACGGCAGCACGGACUUCGGUCUGGUGGCGAGUGGCGAACGGGCGAGUAAUACAUCGGAAGGAGCCCAGUUGUGGGGGAUAGCUACUCGAAAGAGUAGCUAAUAACGCAUGAGAACUGAGGCUGAAAGCAGGGGAUGGCAAGACCUUGCGCAACUGGAGCGGCCGAUGGAAGAUUAGGUAGUUGGUGGGAUAAAAGCUUACCAAGCCGACGAUCCGUAGCUGGUCUGAGAGGACGACCAGCCACACUGGGACUGAGACACGGCCCAGACUCCUACGGGAGGCAGCAGUGGGGAAUUUUGGACAAUGGGCGAAAGCCUGAUCCAGCAAUGCCGCGUGCAGGAUGAAGGCCUUCGGGUUGUAAACUGCUUUUGUACGGAACGAAAAGCUUCGGGUUAAUGCCCUGGAGUCAUGACGGUACCGUAAGAAUAAGCACCGGCUAACUACGUGCCAGCCGCCGCGGUAAGAC
rnacentral:rRNA from 1 species